rnacentral:rRNA from 1 species
UACGGGGGGGGCAAGCGUUGUUCGGAAUUACUGGGCGUAAAGGGCGUCGUAGGCGGCCAACUAAGUCGGACGUGAAAUCCCUCGGCUUAACCGGGGAACUGCGUCCGAUACUGGAUGGCUUGAGUUCGGGAGAGGGAUGCGGAAUUCCAGGUGUAGCGGUGAAAUGCGUAGAUAAUCUGGAGGAACACCGGUGGCGAAGGCGGCAUCCUGGACCGACACUGACGCUGAGGAGCGAAAGCAUGGGGAGCGAACAGG